rnacentral:rRNA from 1 species
UCGAACGAGCAGAGGAGCUUGCUUUUCUUGAUAGUGGCGAACGGGUGAGUAACGCGUGAGUACCUGCCCUGGAGUGGGGGACAACAGUUGGAAACGACUGCUAAUACCGCAUAAGCCGGCAUCGGAAAAGAUUUAUCGCUUCAGGAUGGACUCGCGUCCAAUUAGCUGGUUGGUGAGGUAACGGCCCACCAAGGCGACGAUUGGUAGCCGGACUGAGAGGUUGAACGGCCACAUUGGGACUGAGACACGGCCCAGACUCCUACGGGAGGCAGCAGUGGGGGAUAUUGCACAAUGGGGGAAACCCUGAUGCAGCGACGCCGCGUGGAGGAAGAAGGUUUUCGGAUUGUAAACUCCUGUCGUUAGGGACGAUAAUGACGGUACCUAACAAGAAAGCACCGGCUAACUACGUGCCAGCAGCCGCGGUAAAACGUAGGGUGCAAGCGUUGUCCGGAAUUACUGGGUGUAAAGGGAGCGCAGGCGGACCGGCAAGUUGGAAGUGAAAACUAUGGGCUCAACCCAUAAAUUGCUUUCAAAACUGCUGGCCUUGAGUAGUGCAGAGGUAGGUGGAAUUCCCGGUGUAGCGGUGGAAUGCGUAGAUAUCGGGAGGAACACCAGUGGCGAAGGCGACCUACUGGGCACCAACUGACGCUGAGGCUCGAAAGCAUGGGUAGCAAACAGGAUUAGAUACCCUGGUAGUCCAUGCCGUANACGAUGAUUACUAGGUGUUGGAGGANUGACCUUCAGUGCCGCAGUUAACACAAUAAGUAAUCCAC